rnacentral:rRNA from 1 species
CAACCUGCCCUUCAGAGGGGGACGAACAGUUGGAAACGACUGCUAAUACCGCAUACGAUCUAACCUUGGCAUCGAGGAUGGAUGAAAGGUGGCCUCUAUUUAUAAGCUAUCACUGAAGGAGGGGAUUGCGUCUGAUUAGCUAGUUGGAGGGGUAACGGCCCACCAAGGCGAUGAUCAGUAGCCGGUCUGAGAGGAUGAACGGCCACAUUGGGACUGAGACACGGCCCAGACUCCUACGGGAGGCAGCAUG